CCCUUAGAUGUUCUGGGCUGCACGCGCGCUACACUGAUGCGAUCAACAAGUUUUUCCUAUGUCGAUAGACACGGGUAAUCUUUUGAACUCGCAUCGUGAUGGGGAUAGAUUAUUGUAAUUAUUAAUCUUCAACGAGGAAUUCCUAGUAGGUGCAAAUCAUCAGUUUGCAUCGAUUACGUCCCUGCCCUUUGUACACACCGCCCGUCGCUCCUACCGAUUGAGUGGUCCGGUGAGGCUUUGGGAUCUGAGCGGAAAGAGCGUUUCGCUGUUUCUGCUCGGAAAACUCAGUCGAACCUUAUCAUUUAGAGGAAGGAGAAGUCGUAACA
rnacentral:rRNA from 1 species